AUAGUUUAAAAGUUUUAUUUGAUUUUAUUUGCAGCUUGUUUUGGUUUGGCCUGAAUGUUUUUGACAGUCAAGCAUACGAAUAUGGUAGAAAUACGUUUGUCUGCUAAUCUUUGAACGAGCUAUACGUGAUAGAGUUUCAUUUAUUGUUUUAGAGUUGGAUUCAUUGGACGUAAUUAGGUUUAAUGUUCUGCUGAAAUUUGUAAUUAAUCUCUGUGUUGUUCUAUUUCUUAUUUAAAUUCUUAGAUAUAUUUUAAAGUUACUAGUGUCUAUUUUCAUCAUUAUCAAAUUGCCGUACCACAAACCGCAUUUGUGUCAAAGUUAUAAUAUUAUUUAACGUUAAUGCUCUUUUAACAAAGUGAACUAUUGUGAAUAAAUAUCGCAUAACGAUAAUGCACGUAUUGGAUAUCAAGUUCAAAAGGACAAUUACUGAAGGUCGAAAGAAAGAAAUUAAUUGAUAAUAUGGCUUGUUAUCUAUCUAGGUGGUCUGUAAUUGAAUGCACAAAAAUUAUUAUGUAUAACAAAAAGUACAUGAUAUAUUAUGCAAAAUAAUAAUUGCUAGAGGUCUCUAUUUAUUAGAAAGCUUGGCCACUUUCAUGAAUAUUAUAGGGUAUGAGAGAAACUAAACCGGAUAUAUUUUCUUAUAAAGUCCAGUGACUUGCAUGUAAUUUGUAAAAUCGCAUUACUUACUUUCAUAGGUUCAAAUUAAAGCGCAAAAUGUAAUUACAGAUCACUACCAAGCAAACAAUUAGUACAUAAAUCCAAAGACAAAUGAUAUUAUCUCUUACAAUUGCUUACGGUUCGGGAUAUGCUCCCAAAUUUGGUUAAAAAGUAAUGACAUAAAGUAAGCAUAUGUUGUACGUAGAGUAAGUUUUAUUGAUAACAGAAUGAUUACAUAAAAAGCGCGAAGAGAGGUGGGAAAGGAAAGAUACAGAGACGGGCAUUAGGACAAUGUCAAAGGGCAACGCAUAUCGAAAACGAUAGCGUUAUCAGCGCCCUACGGUGACAUCAGCGGAUAUUAAUAAACUAUGGACUCGGGAACAUUAUCGCUUCCUCUAGUCUCUAUCGUGUUUACGAUGUGUUAUCUAGCUGUGAUUAUAGUGUUUACCAUUUGUGUUAGUUAAUUUUCCAGGAAUACUGAUGGGAUAGAUAUUGCUAGGCGGAGUUAUGAGAUCUUUCUAUUUAGUAGGUACACUGAGAAAAAUUUUCUUUAGCAAAGUACCAAUUUAGCUUGGUUAAAAAUUAUUCUGCUGCAUUCAAUUAAGACAUAUUUAAAAUAUGCAUUAAAGCUUUGCUAGUAUUAUACAAGCAAGUAUUGCUAAAUAUUCUUGGCUAUUAUUAAAAAAGUACUUAUUUAUUUCAAAAUUACCGACUCGUUCAAUAUUACCUUUACCGAAUUAGGUUCACAAUAGACAAGCUUACGUUAUUAUUUAAUGAUAAGCAAGUUAUUUAAUUUUAGACUUAACCAUAGUUGGCUACUAUUUACACAGAGUUCGGUUAAAAAUAAACAAGCUUACAUAAUGAUUGAAUGACAAGUAAAUCAUUUAAAUUUAGACAUAAUAUUAUUUGGCUAAAACUAAAUAACUUUCUAUGAUGCAUAUAACCGUGUUUCUUACUUAAAAACAAACAAGUAACUUAUCUAUUGGGAGAUAAGCACAGCUCGGCAAUUAACAAUGGAGCGAAUACUAUUUUUGACCGAGUAACUUGAUAAAAAUUAAACAAGGAAUUGGCUGCGUAGCCCGCAAAUUCAGCCAUUUCUAUCAAAUCAUAGUCGAGUGACGAACGUGUCUGUUGAAGCGCCGCCUCAGCACCUACAAGGCAGAUUCAAAUUUACAUUAAAAACUUUUCAUCAUCAUUUUGAAUUUUAAUCAAAAUAUUAUAGAAGAGCAAGAUGCAGAAGACAAACUAUUAGGGCUCAAAAACAGCCAUGGACAGCCAUAGAACUAAAGUGGCAAGACUCUACAGAGACGAAGCUAAUUGCUGCAAAAUAGUUAACUAUACUCCAAUACCUCAAUACAAUGAAUAUGCGGCUCUUAAAAAACCCAAAGGAUAUCUUCUGCUAUAAAAAGAUUGUGAAAACCAAAGGACAAUAUAUCACUGAAAGCUUCCCCACAAUCAAGCCAAAAAUAUUUGAAUUAGUAAGUUACUUCUGAUCAAGCAAGAUAUUGUCAUAAUAUACUUAUUACUUUAUUAAAUACCUAUUACUUUAGUAAAUUACAUUAGGUAGGAUAUAGUUCCCAUAUAAUAUGUAAAGAGCUUAUUGUACUUUAAUUUUUUUUGGUGCAAAAAAUGUUUAAGUUUUAGCAUUUAUGAUCAUUUUCCCGACGACGAAUGUGAAUUAUGUUUCAAUGAGAAUAAAUUCAAAUGUUUAAAAUAACGGUUUUACUUGUUGGGUUGUAAUAAAAUUAUUAGAUCAAAAAGAUUACUUAUUCUCCUAACUUAUUCUAUAGUUUUUGCCUAAACUUUUGACUUAUCAAAUACAUAUAAGUACAAUAUUUAGAUGUAGUAACUUGCUUACAUUACCAUAAUGGUUGUUUGUUUUUAUGUAAACAAACCUAAACCACUUUCAUUAUAGAACAAACUCCAACAUCGCGAAAUAAAAUCAGCUGUUCCGUAGAUUUUGGCAGAGUAGAUAAUUCCACUUUUGUAUAUGAAACAGCUGAUAUUUCUUUUACGAUGUUGGAUUUGGCUUUGGAUUAGGUAUAGACCUAAUUAAAGUUGUUCAGGUUCGUAGUGUGAGUCAUUCCUUAAAAGUUUACUCAUGAAUCAUGAUUUAUAUUUAAUCCUGUUAUUGUGAAAAUUAAAACACAAAAUAGUUAUUGUUUCUUGACAUUGUGAAUUGUGUACUAUUUUUAAAAGUAGUAGUAUCUAAGUGUAAGUAGUAUGUUACUUGAAAUGAUUGUAUCGUGUACUGAAUAAAGCUAAUUUCAUUAA